rnacentral:rRNA from 1 species
CCUACGGGAGGCAGCAGUAAGGAAUAUUGGACAAUGCUCGCAAGAGUGAUCCAGCCAUGCCGCGUGCAGGAAGAAUGCCCUAUGGGUAGUAAACUGCUUUUGAACUAGAGAAAACCCCAGUACGUGUACUGGGCUGAUAGUAUAGUUAGAAUAAGCAUCGGCUAACUUCGUGCCAGCAGCCGCGGUAAGACGAAGGAUGCAAGCGUUAUCCGGAUUCAUUGGGUUUAAAGGGAGCGUAGGUGGACUGAUAAGUCAGUGGUGAAAUCUCCGAGCUUAACUCGGAAAUUGCCAUUGAUACUGUUGGUCUUGAGUACAGUUGCUGUGGGCGGAAUAUGACAUGUAGUGGUGAAAUACAUAGAGAUGUCAUAGAACACCGAUUGCGAAGGCAGCUCACAAAGCUGUAACUGACACUGAGGCUCGAAAGUGCGGGGAUCAAACAGGAUUAGAUACCCUGGUAGUCCGCACCGUAAACGAUGAUUACUCGCUGNGUAGGGCGACGUUACGUGUGUAGNGAAGACGAAGUAAGUAAGUUACCGUUACCGUCGGGUUAGGUUACGGUCCGUUCGCGACGGUAGGAACGUUACGAAGUUAGAAGUUAGUUACGGCGUUGGAGGACGUUACGGACCGACGGACGGACCGACGAGGGAAGGUAGGAAG